rnacentral:rRNA from 1 species
UACGGAGGGGGCUAGCGUUGUUCGGAAUUACUGGGCGUAAAGCGCGCGUAGGCGGCCACCGCAAGUCGACUGUGAAAUCUCCGGGCUUAACCCGGAAAGGUCAGCCGAUACUGCGGGGCUAGAGUGCAGAAGGGGCAACUGGAAUUCUCGGUGUAGCGGUGAAAUGCGUAGAUAUCGAGAGGAACACCUGCGGCGAAGGCGGGUUGCUGGGCUGACACUGACGCUGAGGCGCGAAAGCUAGGGGAGCGAACGGG